GGUAAUGUGGUCGAGAGGUUAAGGCGGUUGCCUGUAAAGCAAUUGGGAAACCAUCCUAGGUUCGAAUCCUAGCAUUACCA
rnacentral:tRNA from 1 species